AUGCGGCUGCUGGUUCUCCUCGCGGCUCCUCUCUCCGUGCUCCUCCUGCACACGGCGGCCGUGGCCCCCAUGGCCCGGCUGGAGCGCUGGGUCCGCUCCGGCCUCCAGGCGCUGCACUGGGACCAGCUGGAGCGGUGCCUCCGCAGGGGGUCCCAGUCGGAGGCCGAGUGCCGGCGUCUCGCCCACCUGCCGGCGGCGGCCGUGGCCGUGUACGUGUCGGAGCCUCCGGCUGCUGCAGGCGCGGCAGACAAGGUCCUGGCCAUCCUGCCCGACUCGUCCGGGGGGGCGCCGGCCUCCAAGCCGAGGGGGGGCUUCAGCCUCGGCCAGCUCAGCAACGCAGGUGACGGCCCCCACCGGCACCAGCAGCCGCCCCCCGACUCCACGGCCCACGACGCCGUGCUGGUGCUGGACCCCAGUCCGGGGGAGAACUUUGGCCACCCGCUGGUCCUGUUCUACGUGGACGUGAACGUGACCAAGAAGAGGUGCUCCCACCUGGACGGCAUCUACCUGGGUGAGGAGUGUCUGACGCUGGCCCUGAAGGGCCGCUGUCAGAACCAGCUGAAGCGCCGGCAGGCCGCGCCAGAGAGGCUUCUGGGUAACGGGCGCUCGGCGGUGGGGGCGCUGCGCGGAGGCCCGGGGGCCGGCGGAGGCAGCCGCCUGGUGGAGCGCGCCAUCGGAGGACUCUGCGAGGUCAACUUCCUUCCCCUGGUGGUUGGCGUCGCCGACGGCAACGGCACCCAGAGACUGCGAUGCGUGGACCACGCGGAGUUCGCGGCGUGUCCCCGGCCGCUGGCGCUCGGCGCCCCCGCGCCGCCCGUCUCCAGCUGCGAGCUGAACAAGAACACCAGGCGCUGCCACCAGCAGCCGCUGGCCACGCACCUCUCCUGCCGCCUCUACCAGACGUGCGACCACGCCGUGCUGCUCUCAGGGGGCUGGCAGCAGCAGAUCACCUUCCAGCGCCACCUCCAGAACCUGCAGAGGUUUUACCGGAUGCUCCGCAGCAACGGCUUCCACAAGGACCACAUCAAGACCUUCUUUGCCAGCAGCGGACAGCUUCCUGACGACCUGGAGGGCGUGCACUCGGCGACGGAGAAGGCCGUGAUCCGGAACCACGUGUCGUACGUCUGCAGGAAGCAGCACUGCGCCGACACGCUGGUUCUGUACCUGAACUCCCCCACCCGCACCGACGGCACCAUGCUGCUGUGGGACGCCAACCUCAACGGCAUCGCGGACCUGAAGGAGCGCUACUCGGUCAACGAGCUGCUGGCGGACCUGGCCGGCUGCAGGGCCACGCGGGUUCUGCUCUUUGUGGACCAGAGCUACAGCGGCGUUCUGUCCAAGAGGCUGCGCGGCUCCCAGAAGCACCUCAACGUGGUCCUGAUCCAGGGCCAGACGCGGCAGACCCACAGCCACCAGAACCAGAGGUCGAGCCCAGGCUGGGAGGACAGCGGCUGGUCCCUGAUCGGCCCUGGCACCUGCCUGCUGGACCACCUGGGGAAGGGCCCGGGGACGAGCCGCGUACCAGAACCCUGGGCCGGCCUGAUGAACGUGACGCUGGCCGGCGCCCCCUGCAACGUCACGCCGCCGCUGACUGACGGGGAGAUGCGGCGGGAGUACCAGGGCUGCCAGAACCUGCCGACCGCGCUGUGGCACCAGAAGCACCGGAGGAACAACUGAGCGGGCGAGCGACACCGGCUGCCUGGGGGAGAGAGAGAGACACACACACACACAGACACGCAAGCGCUCGCUUUGCACAGCGGCUCGUAGCUUAGGACUUUAGUUUCAGUUUGCUAGGUGGACACCAGUGUGUGCUCUCUGUCCUGUCUCUGAACUCCGACCGUAACCAUGGCGAUGACAGCUGGUCCCAACGGGAGCGUCCUCAGCAGCAUCUGAGCAGCGUGUGUGUUUGUGUUUGUGAGUUCAGCAAGAGGACAUCCUCUCUCUGAGACCAUUGCUAGCUCACACUUGGGUGUGUGUGUGUGUGUGUGUGUGUGUGUGUGUGUGUGUGUGUGUGUGUGUGUGUGUGUGUGUGUGUGUGUGUGUUGGUCACAUCUCCAGGGCACUUUAACAUUUCAGAUCCAAUCAUCUGCUUCUAUUUUUAUCUUCAUAUCAUUCAUGUUUUCCUCCUUCCUCGUCCUCUACUUGACCGUUCUCCUCCACCUUUCUCCAUCACGCCUCCUCCCUCCUUCUGCUUAUUAGUCUUGUAUCAUCUGCUUUUUACUUUUACAAUCUUGCACUUUUCUUCCUUUUGUGCUUUUUGCUCCCACUUUCCCCAGUAUCUUAUUAACUAAUUGUAAAGCAGUAGAAGUGAAUCACGUUCAAACUGUUGAGUGACUACGACUCGUAUGUGUGUUUGCCAAGCGUCUAGUCUUAGUGUUUGCUGUAUUUGAGCCGUGCUGCGGAGGAGGUGAAGCUGCAGACGCAGGGACGGAGACAGAGAGCGGCUGCUCGACGCCAUGAUCAAGGCACGAAGCGCGGACGCCCUCACCGCUGCUCCGAUGGCACGGAGCACGCGUGUGCUCCGUCACAUGACGCACGCCUCCAACAUGUCCUGCUCCGUGCGGGUCCUCCUCACAGUCACCGCAGUCACGCUCCCUCGCUUCCUGCCGCGUGUCGCACCGCGUUCCUUGUUCGUUCAAUUCAAGAGACGAUUCGGACCAGAACCAACAGGUUGACGUGCAUAGUCACCGUUUUGUGUAUGGAUCUGUGAAUACCAGAUGUAAAGUAGCUGAAACGCCUCCGGCUGCAUGCAGCAAGUCACAAAGUGUAGUCAAUAAAGUAGCUUGAGAAAACGGGUACA
rnacentral:lncRNA from 1 species